GCCAGGCAUGGUGGCACAUGCCUGUAAUCCCAGUGACUCUGGAGGCCGAGGCAGGAGGAUCACAAUUUCUAAGCCAACCUGGCAACAGUGAGACCCUGUCUCAA
rnacentral:sRNA from 1 species